rnacentral:rRNA from 1 species
GACAGAGGUGCCAAGCGUUAGGCGGAAUCACUGGGCUUAAAGCGUGUGUAGGCGGAUUUGUAAGUACCUUGUGAAAUCCCACGGCUUAACCGUGGAACUGCUCGGUAUACUGCGAAUCUUGGGCCAUCUAGGGGCGAGCGGAACAAGUGGUGGAGCGGUGAAAUGCGUAGAUAUCACUUGGAACGCCAAUGGUGAAAACAGCUCGCUGGGGAUGUGCCGACGCUGAGACACGAAAGCCAGGGGAGCAAACGGG